CCCCUCUCAGGAUGGCACCUGAAGAGUUUCCAGUACUCUACCAGUCUCUACUACUGGAGGGAGAGUCAAGCAGAGGCCUGCCCAUUCCAUUCCUAGCUUGGCCAGUGGCUAGCGAGGGGAAGGCAAUCUGCUUCAAGU
rnacentral:snoRNA from 1 species